AGGUUGGUAAACUGAUAGCAAG
rnacentral:miRNA from 1 species